AUGCCUUUUUUUUGUUAUAUAUAUUUACACUAAAAAUUAAAAACCGAAUGGGUUCCUGGGAACCCGUACUUUCUUAAUAGGUCCGCCCCUGGUCCAUCCCACAAAACUAGAGGGUAUGGAGGAUGGUCCUAAAUGAUCCUACCCCACCAAUUUUUUUAUUUUUUUAAUCUUCUAUUUUUUUAACAUUUAGCAAAUAAAUUAACUAAAUAUUUUCAUUAAUAUUAAAAACACAUUACAUAAACUUAAAAAAGAAAACACAAACUUAAAAAAUAAAAAACAUAGACUUAAAAAAUCAUAAACUUAAUAAAAAAAACACCCCACUGAUGAUAAAUACAUUUUGCAUUUUCCUUUCCAAUUUACAACUCUGCUAGUGCCACUGCCACUUUGCAUAUCAUUCUUCUUCCCCAAAACAUUACAUCCUCUCCUAAACCCUAACAUUUCACCAUCUCGCACAAAUUCUCCCUCUCGAUUGCACGUUUUCCGGUCAAAUCACAGGUAACUUCACCGGAUUGUUCUCCUCUUUGUUGAUUUCUUUGAAAUAAAAACUGGAAUUUAAUUUUUUUUAUUAUUAACG
rnacentral:lncRNA from 1 species